CCCGGACGUUGCUCUCUGCCCCGGGAACGUCGAGACUGGAGCGCCCGAACUGAGCCACCUUCGCGAACCCGGAGCGCGGCAGCCCGACUCACCGCGGAGGCGCCCGGACGCGUAAAUGACCCCCUCCAGGGCAAGGUUUCAACCCCAAAGGUAGCGCCCGGGAGCCGCACUGCCUAGAACACCCCAGCAAUCGCAGGGGCUUUUCUGGGGUGACGGAACCCCAGCCGGAUACCGCAGCUCCAGCCACUCGCGUCCCGUGCGCUGCCCUCCCAGAAGAGACCAGCUGCCUAACUUUCCGGGCUGGAGACCGCUCUGGCGUCCGGGGCGGGUGGGCGCUCGCCGAUCGCUCUCCACUAGCCAAGGAACUUGUCCAGAGAAGUCGACCGCGGGCAAGUGGCCCAGAGGGCGCGCAGGUAGGCACCCGCCCUCGCCACCGGGUUUCCGAGGUCUCUGCCCGGGAACCCUUCGUAGGACCUGUGGCUGCUGCAGUUGGAGCUCCGAGUGUACCUUACUCGAAGAACAGAGUAUGUUCACAGGGAAUGUGUCUCCCCUCCCUCUGGCUGAGGGACUUUCUCUGCUCGGUGGGAUGGGGUAUACACCCCAGCACUUCCCACCUGAGGGAAACCUGCCGACUCCCAUUGUUCCUAGCCCUCCUGGUAGGGUCUUUCAGAUGGACUAGGGAAAUCUCACUGAACAUACCUGAUUGGGGGGUCCCCACUCAUAUGGUUUUUAUCCCAAAGCAGGGCUUCUCUGAGCUCACAGACCACCACCCCUCUUCUCUUUUGGACUGGGGUGGUAGAGUGAGAAGAGACUCUUGCUGGGGAGUCUGAGAGGCAGAUUGGGGGCUUCUGAGACCUUGUCUUGGGUACAGCAAUAUAUACUUCUCCUCAGCCCGAGAUUCUCUCAUCUCUGGGAGGCACCAGUCUAGGGUUCAUGUCCUGCUCCUUCCCUCAAGGAUCUGGGGCAGGGAUAUGAGGCAGGUCCUCCCUUUCCAUAUUCAGUUUCUGAAAAGGCCACUUGGGAUAGGUUCAUAUGUGUCAGGGAGCAUAUGCCACGUGGCAGUCAUAGUCUGGGACAGAUAGAAGUCCAGCACUGCUGGUCCCGCUCUAUGGACCAGUCACAUCUGAUCAUCACUCCCUCCUGAUGUGGGACACCUGGGAAAGCAGCUGGCGGUCUUCCUGGGCAUCUGCUGGUGAGUGUGGGAAACAGGCUACACCCCACACUUCAGGAUUCCAGAGCACUGGAUGAAGUACCCAGGCCCUUUUGACUCCUCUGGUCUCCUGUACAGGUGAGGACAGAACCAAGGUGUGGGUGAUUCUGGCCUUUGGGGCACAUACCUGGCUUGACAACUCCUACUCCAGUGCCCACUACCCCUUCUUCCUGUCCCCCCUUAACUCCCCCAUCCUCUUUUCCCACUGCCCUCCAGGCCAGCACCUCCAACUAGCUAUAGAUCUCUGGCUUUCUACUAGUUGCUUAACUGCCCUGUCUUGUCCCAACAGCCUAGAUUGUGAAUACUGGGCUAAGGCAAUUCAAUGGGAAUACUGAAGUCCAUGCGAUGCUUGGACCUUAGUGGGAACAGGCAGACUUGGGAGGGGACUCUGGGGACUUUCUCCUGUUUCAAGAGCCCAGGAGGGGCAUAUCCUGGGGGAGGAGGGACUCCUGCCUGCCCCCUUCCAGCUCCAGUAGAGGGCAGACGGGGAAGAGAAAAGGAGGGAUAUAUUGGACUGGGUCCAUUUGGUGCCCUGGAACAACUCGGGGUGGGGGUGGGUCCUUGGCAUGACUGGGGAGGAUGGGACUUUGGCCACCCUUCUACUCCCAAGAUCUGGGUCAUAGUGGUCUGCCUGUGAGGGGGUGCUAGGUGGGCCUGGCACUAACCCCUUGGUCUCCCAGCCUCUGGGUGGGGUUGGUGGGUGGGUGUGGCAAGUAUAGUCUCUGCCUUCCUUUCCCAAGGCUGUCAGAAGACUCCAUGGAAGUUGGUGGGCAGUGCCAGUGGGUUUUCACAUCUCCCAGCAGGGGGUACCUCCUAGGACUCAGAAAAAGGCUUCAGCCCCACCCUUAAAGAAGAGUGCUGGAGAACAAGUCUCAUGUCCUGGGGCUGGCCUCAUUUCAUCAUGACUUGGUUGCAUGGACGCAGGCCUCUUUGGCCAUCACUCUUGUUACUUUUAAGCUGCUUCCCCCUGCACUGACCUCUGGACGCCCCAGGAGCUUUCCUUUCUCUGAACUUCCACCAUGGUGUUCCUGUUGCUUUUCUCUUUGCUUUUGGACCCCCUCCCCCCAUAAUCUUUUUUUCCUUCCAAAGCCCUAGACUGACCUGUCCCAUCCUUCCCCAUGUAGGGAGCCCAGCCUUCCUGCCUGGACCAUCCUCACAGAAGCACAUGCCCUCUGCCUGUUCUGUUCUUCCUUGGUGGCCAGCAGCUGUCCAACAGAUGAAAUUGGUGUCUGCCUGGCAGCCCUGCCCCUCCUGGUCCAGCUGGAAUCCCCUGGAGUGACUGCUGGGAGGUGCCCAAUAAAACUUUGUGCAAUGAG